rnacentral:lncRNA from 1 species
AUUGUUCAAUAAAGUUCCAAGAAUCUUUGGUGGUGGUGCUAGUGUCCAUUCGAGAAUAAGCUCCUCCCAUCGCCGGAGGGGUGAGUCACUUUUACAGUUCUAGACUUCAGGCUUGAACUAUUACAUUCAGUGGGCUAUGAUGUGAGUAACAAGUUUGGUUAUUCUCGCAAUUUAAAUGGAUGAAAAAGCUGUGAUUUGGAGCGUUGUGGUGAAAAAAUAUCUUAAUCUUGUAUAAAUUUAUUGUGGAAGAACAGUAAUGCAGAAAAAUCUCUCAUAAGCUUUUGUUCAAUGUAAUGUCAUCACCUCUGCAAUUUUGUUGAAAAACAUUAUGUGCAUUGUGGCAGUGUCAGGAUUCCCAGCAACUAUUUUUAUAGCUUCUUUCAUCCAACUGGAAACUUAUUAUGGAAGAGAAAGUGAGCUGUCGGUCAAAAGUGGUGGUCUCUGUCCCACCCAGACACCCAACACUAGAAGCUGUUUGUUAUGAGGCAUUGAUGAAAAUCUAAGUUGUUUUGGUCUUAGUAAAUCCUGUAAGACUGCAUGACGACCACAGGCAAAGAUGGCAUAUAGGUAAAACUUCAUAAUGGAGGCCGUGGCUAUCUUCAUGGUUAUGGUUUCACCCGUGUCCUGGCAAAUGGCAACCAACAGUUAUUUUAUUAAGGCUUUUUUUGUUUGUUUUUUGUUCGUAUUUUUGCCAGUUAUACUUUCUUUUAUUUGAAUUUUCAAAUGAAUAUGGCAGUGGAAAGCUGAACGGCAAGAAAAAGUUGAUUUGUGAACUGAAUUUUUGAGAGUUAUGUGAAUAGAAGGAACAAGAGAUUCUACUAAAGAAGAAAAUGCAUUACAACUUCAAAUUGAGUGGAAGAUUGUUAGUUUUUGCUUCUGCUAUAGAAGCAAAAAAAAAUUAGUUAUAGCAAAACCUGUACAACUGUAAUCAGGAGCAACCAGGAAUUUGGACAAGAAAGAAACAACCUUUCAACAAGAAAUCAGUUUUGAAGCCUGAGCAAUAUUAAUGCAUUCAACUGCGGCAAAGUAUGCUCCGGUAUUUGACAUGUUUUGGAACGCCAGUGUACUAACAAGAAAUCUACUGGGGCAUCCUUGGCUAUCCAAACAAAUUGAAGCGGAUCUCAAAUACCUACUGGCGAUUUUUCAGUGCCAUUAGAAACCACCAAUUGUUGCGACCAUCUAGUGGUAAUAUUGCUAACCACCAAUCCAUCUAGUGGCGAGAUUGCAAACCACCAAUUGUAUACGCCACAGUCAUCUAGUGGCGAGAUUGACAAUCACAAAUUGUAUACGUCACAGCCAUCUGGUGGCGAGAUUGUAAACCAUCCAUCGUAUACACCACAGCCAUCUAGUGGCGAGAUAGCAAACCACCAAAUAUCAGUCAGCUGAUAGGUUUUCUGGUGUUCAUUUGCCAUGAUGGUUGCCUCACAGACUUGCCUGUCGGAUUGGAAAUUUGUUGCGAACCCAAGGAUUGUUAUGUAUAUCAGUAUAUCCUGCUGACAGUAUAGUAUUUAUACCAUGUACACCCACUAUCAGCAGCCUUAUAGUGUGCUUCCUAAAUAUGUCAACCCCUGAGAUAACAUUAUCAUUGGAAAUUGUGUUUUUGUUGUAGUUUUCUUCUCCACUUCUAUUAUCCAUAUGCAGUUUUUACGCCACUUCAUUACCUUCAUGGUGUGAUAUUUUAUCAUUCCGGAAAAAGGAGUCUGGAAAUUGAUGAUUUCUAAUAUACAGCUGGUGUUCAGGUUUAUUUUUACAUAAUGAACUUUCAAUUGGAAGUUGAGUGUUUUAUCAGAUUAUGGAAUCCUACUUUGAAAACCAAACUAUUUCCUUCAACAAAUGGAUUUUGAACUAUUGUACAUAUGGUAUUAUGUACUCAAUGAU